GCGGCUGUGGCGGAAUCGGUAGACGCGCAGGCUUCAGGUGCCUGUGAGCUUCGGCUCGUGGAGGUUCAAGUCCUCUCAGCCGCA
rnacentral:tRNA from 5 species